GACGAACGCUGGCGGCGUGCUUAACACAUGCAAGUCGAACGAAGAGCGAUGGAAGCUUGCUUCUAUCAAUCUUAGUGGCGAACGGGUGAGUAACGCGUAAUCAACCUGCCCUUCAGAGGGGGACAACAGUUGGAAACGACUGCUAAUACCGCAUACGAUCUGACCUCGGCAUCGAGGAUAGAUGAAAGGUGGCCUCUUUUUUUAGCCUAUCAUUGAAGAAGGGGAUUGCGUCUGAUUAGCUAGUUGGAGGGGUAACGGCCCACCAAGGCGAUGAUCAGUAGCCGGUCUGAGAGGAUGAACGGCCACAUUGGGACUGAGACACGGCCCAGACUCCUACGGGAGGCAGCAGUGGGGAAUCUUCCGCAAUGGACGAAAGUCUGACGGAGCAACGCCGCGUGAGUGAUGACGGCCUUCGGGUUGUAAAGCUCUGUUAAUCGGGACGAAAGGCCUUCUUGCGAAUAGUUAGAAGGAUUGACGGUACCGGAAUAGAAAGCCACGGCUAACUACGUG
rnacentral:rRNA from 1 species